rnacentral:rRNA from 1 species
UACGUAGGGGGCAAGCGUUGUCCGGAAUCAUUGGGCGUAAAGAGCGCGUAGGCGGUCCGGUAAGUCGGUUGUGAAAACUGGGGGCUCAACCCUCAGAGGCCGACCGAUACUGUCGGGCUAGAGUCCGGAAGAGGCGAGUGGAAUUCCUGGUGUAGCGGUGAAAUGCGCAGAUAUCAGGAGGAACACCAAUGGCGAAGGCAGCUCGCUGGGACGGUACUGACGCUGGAGGCGACGAAAGCGUGGGGAGCAAACAGG